rnacentral:lncRNA from 1 species
UCCGACGAAAAGCUUCCUCCCACGUUUCGGAGGGGUACCGCUCCGAUUUGGGCUGAAAUCGCGAGCGCCCGCAAAACGUACCCCUUCAUCCCCCCGCGACCACGAAAAAUAAGAAAACAGAGCAGGGAGGUCGGCCACGACCUAGGAGCUCGGCGGCGGCGACCACCACGAGCACCGGCGGCUGCGCAGGUGCCGUUCUUCCCCGUUCUCUCUCCCUCUUCCCCAUCCCAGUACCUCCUCCUAUCCCCGUACCGCGUCCCCUCCCAACGCCCGUCGGCGACCAAGAUGGAGGUCUGCGGCGGCCCGAGACAUCUAGCCCGCGCCCCCUCUGGAUCCGCCAUGCCCCCCUCUGGCUCAGCCGCGCCCUGACCCGCUGGAUCCACCCUUCCCCCUAUGCCAUGCCCCUCCAUCCUCCUGUACACCCCCUCUUUCUGCACCAUGGUCGACGGAGCUGCAGCUCCUCUGCUCCUCUACACCAUGUCCGCCCGCCCGCUCCCUGUAUGAAUUCUUCUACUCUUCCAGCAUGGCCAUAGCCUACCUCCUCUUCUCCUCCUCCCUCUAUAUCCCUCUCUGAUUAGCUAAUUUACAAUGUUUAUAUCAGAUGUUAGUAACAAAGUUCAGUCAUUAAAUUUUUUUGCUGACUUGUCUGAUUUCAUAAUCAAGAGAAUGUAGACAAUUGUUCAGUAUGGGUAUUAAGUUUCCUACCAUGGCUCCUAAAGUUUAGAUCACACUGGACUACAGAAUUUUCUCAUCUGAAUUCUGUUAUGGAGCUGCAGCUCCUCUUCUAUAGCGUGACCACACCUGACAACUCCUCUUGUUAUGCAGAUUACUGAAAUUUCGUUGAUCCAUAAGCCGAUUGAAGGGACUAGCAGGUAGUGCUUGGCGGCACGCCGCGCUUCGUUGAUUCGUUUGAAAUUUGCUUUCAUGGAGUUCUUCAAAAAUGUUGUAUGUUUUGCAUGCGUGUAUCUUUAUAGUGAGGGAAUGAAGCAUGUAUGUUGCUCUGUUCGACAGCAAACUGAACAUGUAUGGUAGCAUGUGUGCUGCUCCUUUCGACAGCAGAAAGUUCGCUUCUGCUUUGUUAGACAGCAUAAAAUUCUAUGUUGUUUUCAUCAUUUUGAUCUAAUUCAGUUCACCAAAACUGAAAGUGUGUGUUGUUUUUGUCAUUUUGAUCUAGGCCUUUAUAAACAAAAUUACACAAGGAAGUAAGAAUAAACCUGAAUGUUGAUCUAGGCAAAAUUCAGUUCCGAUAUGUUAUGCCUUUCUAAACAAAAUUCAGAGAUACAAAUAUUCUGAUCCUGUUGGUAGAAUAAACUGCAAUACAUGCUCUGUUCCUGAUAUUCUUGACAGCAACAAAACUGCAAUAAUUAUUGAGUGGAGGAAACAUGCAAUAUAUUGUUGUCCAUGUAUAACCAUUUUGCGUUUUCCUGAUGCAUUUCUAGAACAUUUAUUUAUUUUCGUUGCUAUAUAUGUAUUCGUAGUAAGAUUUCAAUUUUGAGUCAUGUAGAACAAGGUAUAACCUGGUAAUGUAGCUAUGCAAUUCCAAAGUUUGUCAUCCAAACAGGAUUUGGUAUUGAAAUCUCAGAGGCAUUUCAAGGGCCAAUUUAUUGGACAACCAAACAGGUGAAUUCGUAUUCGUUCCAUUUCAGUUUCCUCACUGAUUUGGAAUUCAGACCAAUUCAAUACGGAGCUCUCCAAUGGAGACAUCCAAACGAAGCGUAGAAGUAAAAAUUACUUACAGAUUCAUGGACCACUUAGCGACGACUACAAGCACUGGAGCGAGCUAAAGGCGCGCCACUAUCAUUGUCCCUCCCUCACUGAAACCGAAUAGUUGCUAUAUUUGAUACUGCUGUCAAGGGCUUUCUUCUCCAUCUGCCACGUUUUUUUCUAGAGGGGCGUACCAGUUAAUUUGAUAAUGCAAGAAAACAAGCUAGGUGAGCAAGGACCAGACACCAGAGUAUCAGAUGACAUAGUUUUAACCUUACUUGUAUGUGUUUUGUACACCUACUUCUAUAGGGCUAUCCAUUUCUAUCGCCAGAGCACCGACUGCAGCUUUUUGAGCAGAUCCGAGCAAGGCGCGAAGUUCGGAUCGUCGCGAAGCUACCUCUGAAUGCAGUGGAUCCAGAGGAGGAGUUGGAGGAGGAGGAGAAAGAUAAACUAGGGUACUAUGUAGUAUGCAAUACCUCCGAAUGCAGUGCACCCGUCCACCCGACGCCCGAAUCGACGUUGACAUCUCCGACAACGAAGAUAAGCUAGGAUAGUACGUAGUAUGUAGUACGUAUAAUUUUAUUUGCAUGCUUUAUAUGGAUUUAACGGUUAAAAUAUGAGAUACUCAGAUGCAGAGUGGCUAAUUUAAG